GACGAACGCUGGCGGCGUGUCUAACACAUGCAAGUCGAACGGAACUGUUUUGAAAGAUUUCUUCGGAAUGAAUUUGAUUUAGUUUAGUGGCGGACGGGUGAGUAACGCGUGAGUAACCUGCCUUCAAGAGGGGAAUAACAUUCUGAAAAGAAUGCUAAUACCGCAUGACAUAUCGGAACCACAUGGUUUUGAUAUCAAAGAUUUUAUCGCUUGAAGAUGGACUCGCGUCCGAUUAGUUAGUUGGUGAGGUAACGGCUCACCAAGACCGCGAUCGGUAGCCGGACUGAGAGGUUGAACGGCCACAUUGGGACUGAGACACGGCCCAGACUCCUACGGGAGGCAGCAGUGGGGGAUAUUGCGCAAUGGGGGCAACCCUGACGCAGCAACGCCGCGUGAAGGAUGAAGGUUUUCGGAUUGUAAACUUCUUUUAUUAAGGACGAAAAAUGACGGUACUUAAUGAAUAAGCUCCGGCUAACUACGUG
rnacentral:rRNA from 1 species